CAUAUACUAAUGGGUGUGAUCAUACCAGCACUAAUGCACCGGAUCCCAUCAGAACUCCGCAGUUAAGCGUGCUUGGGCGAGAGUAGUACUAGGAUGGGUGACCUCCCGGGAAGUCUUCGUGUUGCACCCCUUUUUUGUUCCUCUUGAUUUUUUUGUUUUUUUUUUUUUGGGUCUUUUCAUUUGAAAAACAAUGCAUCUUCCGAACGACACUAUUUCAAGACCGUGUGGAACCACGCCUCCUACAACAACUUUUUCGGAAAGCCCCAAGAGUGUUCUCGGGUUUGCCCAACGGUCUAAAGACCAUGGGUGCGUUUUACGAGGCCAAAUUUUGAGUUUUAGACCCUCUUCCGGGCGUUUUUCUAAAACAUAAGCCCCGGUAUUAGUGUCGUCAAACGUGGUAACCUAACUUAUAUAUUUUGGCACGAAUGCUCGUCGCAGCUGGGAGGGAAAUUCCAUAUAAACAGUGCAACACACGCGAAGAGAUUUCAUUGCGGACUCAAAGCCAAAGGAUAUAUGCUAAUGCGAUACAUACACUAAUGGGUGCGAUCAUACCAGCACUAAUGCAUCGGAUCCCAUCAGAACUCCGCAGUUAAGCGUGUUUGGGCGAGAGUAGUACUAGGAUGGGUGACCUCCCGGGAAGUCCUCGUGUUGCACCCCUUUUUUGUUCCUCUUGAUUUUUUUGUUUUUUUUUUUUGGGCUUUUCAUCUGAAAAACAAUGCAUCUUCCGACCGACACUAUUUAAAGACCGUGUGGAACCACGCCUCCUACAACAACUUUUCGGAAAGCCCCAAGAGUGCUCUCGGGCUUGCCCAAGGGUCUAAAGACCAUGGGUGCAGUUUACGAGGCCAAAUUUUGAGUUUUAGACCCUCUUCCGGGCGUUUUUCUAAAACAUAAGCCCUGGUUUUAGUGUCGUCAAACGUGGUAACCUAACUUAUAUAUUUUGGCACGAAUGGUCGUCGCAGCUGGGCGGGAAAUUCCAUAUAAACAGUGCAACACACGCGAAGAGAUUUCAUUGCGGACUCAAAGCCAAAGGAUAUAUGCUAAUGCGAUACAUAUACUAAUGGGUCCGAUCAUACCAGCACUAAUGCACCGGAUCCCAUCAGGACUCCGCAGUUAAGCGUGCUUGGGCGAGAGUAGUACUAGGAUGGGUGACCUCCCGGGAAGUCCUCGUGUUGCACCCCUUUUUUGUUCCUCUUGAUUUUUUUGUUUUUUUGUUUUUGGUCUUUUCAUCUGAAAAACAAUGCAUCUUCCGAACGACACUAUUUAAAGACCGUGUGGAACCACGCCUCCUACAACAACUUUUUGGAAAGCCCCAAGAGUGCUCUCGGGCUUGCCCAACGGUCUAAAGACCAUGGGUGCGGUUUACGAGGCCAAAAUUUUGAGUUUUAGACCCUCUUCCGGGCGUUUUUCUAAAACAUAAGCACUGGUUUUAGUGUCGUCAAACGUGGUAACCUAACUUAUAUAUUUUGGCACGAAUGCUCGUCGCAGCUGGGCGGGAAACCCAUAUAAACAGUGCAGCACAUGCGAAGAGAUUUCAUUGUAGACUCAAAGCCAAAGGAUAUAUGCUAAUGUGAUACAUAUACUAAUGGGUGUGAUCAUACCAGCACUAAUGCACCGGAUCCCAUCAGAACUCCGCAGUUAAGCGUGGUUGGGCGAGAGUAGUACUAGGAUGGGUGACCUCCCGGGAAGUCCUCGUGUUGCACCUCUUUUUUGUUCCUCUUGAUUUUUUUGUUUUUUUUUUUUUUGGGUCUUUUCAUUUGAAAAACAAUGCAUUUUCCGAACGACACUAUUUCAAGACCGUGUGGAACCACGCCUCCUACAGCAACUUUUUUGGAAAGCCCCAAGAGUGCUCUCGGGCUUGCCCAACGGUCUAAAGACCAUGGGUGCGUUUUACGAGGCCAAAAUUUUGAGUUUUAGACCCUCUUCCGGGCGUUUUUCUAAAACAUAAGCCCUGGUUUUAGUGUCGUCAAACGUGGUAACCUAACUUAUAUAUUUUGGCACGGAUGCUCGUCGCAGCUGGGCGGGAAAACCCAUAUAAACAGUGCAACACAUGCGAAGAGAUUUCAUUGCGGACUCAAAGCCAAAGG
rnacentral:lncRNA from 1 species